rnacentral:rRNA from 1 species
UACAGAGGUCCCAAGCGUUGUUCGGAUUCACUGGGCGUAAAGGGUGCGUAGGUGGUUGGGUAAGUCCGAUGUGAAAUCUCAGAGCUCAACUCUGAAACUGCAUUGGAUACUAUCUGACUUGAGGGUCGGAGGGGGGACUGGAAUUCUCGGUGUAGCAGUGAAAUGCGUAGAUAUCGGGAGGAACACCUGAGGCGAAGGCGGGCUACUGGGCCGAUACUGACGCUGAGGCGCGAAAGCCAGGGGAGCAAACGGG